GAUUGCAAUGGAAUGCAAAACUUAAUGUCAUCCUCAACAGCCAAAAGUCUGGUGCUACUAGAAAAGUUGACUAUAACUAAUUGUAAAAUGAUCAUGGAAGUAGUAGCAAACGAGGGAGAUAUAGAGAAAGAUGAAGUUGUUUUUGAGAAAUUGAAGGGGUUGUACUUUUAUAAUUUAGAAAGUCUCACAUGUUUUUGUUUUGGGAAUUACACUUUAAAAUUCCCAAAUUUGGAAAACUUAAAUGUGAGUAAAUGCUCCAAGAUGAAGACUUUCUCUGAAGGAGGCUUAAGCAUACCAAGGUUAGAGAUGUUGAACUAUAAAUAUUGUUCGGAGAGUGACAUUGAUACAAUCAUACAACAAUUACAAAAUGAUUGUUCAGAUUUCUGUAAAGGAUUCGAAGGAGAUUGGGGGUUUUAGUUAGAUAGGAAACUAAUAUUCAUCAACACACAACAAUCAUAUGAUUGUUCUGAGUUUUGUGAAAGAUUCCCAAGAGAAGAUCAAGAGUUUUAGUUGGUUCAACAACAUACAGCAAAGUCUCGUGUUAGUGUAAAACAAAUAAACUAUACAUUAUCUGCCUACGAACUACGAAGGCUUUAUUUGGGGGCGGCAAAGCGUUCAACGGCUUGGCUACUCAAGGUCCGGCCGAAUCUUCGCUUGAGCUGCGCAAUUUGGUCGGAUCUUUGCCUCAGCCGUGCGGCAUGGCCACACAUUUUCAAGCCAGAUCUUGGCCUCAGAUGAUGUCACCACCUCCCAUAACCUGGCAGGAUCAAGCAAAGGCUGCUGAGGUUCUUGUCUAGGACCUCAAGGUAUUUGCAUCCUUCAAUGAAGAACUUUUCAAGGAGAUUACCCGGCUUCUUACUCUUGAUAACUUUAGGCAAAAUGAGCAACUUUCCAAGUAUGGAGACACAAAAUCGGCUUGUAAUAUUAUUCUUGUAGAACUUAAAAAGCUAAUUGAAUCAAACCCCCUGUUUCGUGACAAGCUCACGUUUACUUAGCAUUCAAAAGUUCACAACUGAGGACAUCAAUAAACCAGAGGUUAUUCUUUAAUC